CCUGAUGGGAUUAGGUUCAAUUGGUUUGGACUGAAUGAGCCCUAAAGCAAAAAACCUCCUCCUCCACAAUCUGUGUUGAAUUCCCGGAGACUGGUCCUGGUUUCUUUCAAGGUAAGCCCUUCGAGGGCCCUGUUUCUAUUCUUUCAGAAGCUCUGAGGGCUCCUGAUAGGAUUAGGCUCAGCUGAUGUGGGCGGAAUGAUCCCUGAGCCAAAAAAAAAACAAACAACAACAACAACAAAAACAACCUCCUCCUCCACAAUCUGUGUUGAAUGCCUGGAGACUGGCCCAGGUUACUUUCAAGGUCUCUGCAAUGACAGCCUUCAACCAAUGACAUCAACUGAGUAUCUAUCUGCUUCAAGUCUUACUUUGACAAAAAACAAACAAAAAAACCAAACAUUUUAGCUAGAUAUCCAAUUCAUAGUAGUACAUAAAGAGAAAAGCUCCAAAACUCAAAUGCCAUCUUGGGCUGCAUUAUUUCUUAAAUUGUUUGUUCUAUUAGGUAGUAACAUGAAUUUUUAAAGAAAACUGUGUAUAUUAAAUGCCUAUUUUACUCUGAGUUGGUACAGAAAUUCUUCAAUGCUUUAUUGUGGUAUUUAAGUGACUCUUGCGACAGACGCUGGCACUAAAGAAAAAGUGUCAAGCUGAAGAGUGUGUGAAACUGAUCACCUCAGUGGAAGAGGGGUCCCAGGAAAUUGGAAUCUUGAGGAGGAGAAGACUCUGCCUGGUAGAAAAGUUGUUCUCUCAGUCUUGAGAAACCGAAGAGAGAAGGUAGAAAAAGAUUUUCUCCUGAGGGUUACCCACCUUUCCUGCUGGUGACUGAAAAUCCUUCCUCCCAACAUUUUCCAAUUGAAAAAACUAUUGAAGAGGACACCUGAGAAAGACAUUUUAUAUCUCUGGUGGACUUUACUUCAGUUCCUGUUGCCCUCAGUCUGAACUGUGGCCUAGGGGCCAAACCCAGGGUGAGCCAACCUGACUUUCUCUUAGCGGCCUCAGGCUGCCAAAGCCUGAGUUCCCCCCAAACUCAAGGAAGGAGGAAAAGGGUUUUAGAUAGAGACAGGGGCCCCUUUUCCCCACUUCCAUUUGACAUUCUUUCCCUGCUAGUUAUUUCUUUGUAUUACAACUGUAAGGUUAAAAUUAUGGUUGAGACAGAAUGUAAUAAUUAUAUUUGGUCACCGAGGAUUUUGUUUGUAAAAUCCUAAUGAAACACCCAAACUCAGCUGGAAAUUUUAUGGUGAUUUAAUUGAUAUAGUGGAAGAGAUUAAGAAGAAGGAAGAAGGAAGGGGUUAGUACUGGGUGAGAAGAUUAGAAGACCUAGAAAGUAAGGUUUUGAGAGUGAAGGAGGAAAGAAUCAGCCUAACCUCCAAUGGGGCUCAGCUAAGAUGCCCAAACCUGAAUCAGCUCA
rnacentral:lncRNA from 1 species